rnacentral:rRNA from 1 species
GAUGAACGCUGGCGGCGUGCCUAAUACAUGCAAGUCGAGCGAACAGAUGAGGAGCUUGCUCCUCUGACGUUAGCGGCGGACGGGUGAGUAACACGUGGAUAACCUACCUAUAAGACUGGGAUAACUUCGGGAAACCGGAGCUAAUACCGGAUAAUAUAUUGAACAGCAUGGUGCAAUAGUGAAAGACGGUUUUGCUGUCACUUAUAGAUGGAUCCGCGCCGCAUUAGCUAGUUGGUAAGGUAACGGCUUACCAAGGCAACGAUGCGUAGCCGACCUGAGAGGGUGAUCGGCCACACUGGAACUGAGACACGGUCCAGACUCCUACGGGAGGCAGCAGUAGGGAAUCUUCCGCAAUGGGCGAAAGCCUGACGGAGCAACGCCGCGUGAGUGAUGAAGGUCUUCGGAUCGUAAAACUCUGUUAUUAGGGAAGAACAAAUGUGUAAGUAACUAUGCACGUCUUGACGGUACCUAAUCAGAAAGCCACGGCUAACUACGUG